GACGAACGCUGGCGGCGUGCUUAACACAUGCAAGUCAAGGGGGCCCAGCAAUGGGCAACCGGCGAACGGGUGCGUAACACGUGAGCAACCUACCGAAAUGUGGGGGAUAGCCGGCCUAACGGCCGAGUAAUACCGCAUACGCUUUCCGAGAGGCAUUUCUUGGAAAGGAAACCUACGGGACAUUUCGAGGGGCUCGCGGCCUAUCAGCUAGUUGGCGAGGUAACGGCUCACCAAGGCAACGACGGGAGCUGGUCUGAGAGGAUGGCCAGCCACAUUGGGACUGAGAUACGGCCCAGACUCCUACGGGAGGCAGCAGUGGGGAAUCUUGCGCAAUGGCCUAACGGCUGACGCAGCGACGCCGCGUGUGGGAUGAAGCUCUUCGGAGUGUAAACCACUGUUGCCCGGGACGAAUAGCUCGAUUAAUCGAGCCUGACGGUACCGGGUGAGGAAGCACCGGCUAACUCCGUGCCAGCAGCCG
rnacentral:rRNA from 1 species